GACGAACGCUGGCGGCACGCUUAACACAUGCAAGUCGAACGAGAGAAGAGAAGCUUGCUUUUCUGAUCUAGUGGCGGACGGGUGAGUAACACGUGAGCAAUCUGCCUUUCAGAGGGGGAUACCGAUUGGAAACGAUCGUUAAUACCGCAUAACAUAAUUGAACCGCAUGAUUUGAUUAUCAAAGAUUUAUCGCUGAAAGAUGAGCUCGCGUCUGAUUAGCUAGUUGGUAAGGUAACGGCUUACCAAGGCGACGAUCAGUAGCCGGACUGAGAGGUUGAUCGGCCACAUUGGGACUGAGACACGGCCCAGACUCCUACGGGAGGCAGCAGUGGGGAAUAUUGCACAAUGGAGGAAACUCUGAUGCAGCGAUGCCGCGUGAGGGAAGAAGGUUUUAGGAUUGUAAACCUCUGUCUUCAGGGACGAAAAAAGACGGUACCUGAGGAGGAAGCGCCGGCUAACUACGUG
rnacentral:rRNA from 1 species